UACGUAGGGGGGCGAGCGUUGUCCGGAUUUAUUGGGCGUAAAGAGCGUGUAGGCGGCCAGGUAGGUCUGCUGUGAAAACUCGAGGCUCAACCUCGAGACGUCGGCGGAAACCAUCUGACUAGAGUCCGGAAGAGGAGAGUGGAAUUCCUGGUGUAGCGGUGAAAUGCGCAGAUAUCAGGAAGAACACCCGUGGCGGAAGGCGGCUCUCUGGGACGGUACUGACGCUGAGACGCGAAAGCGUGGGGAGCGAACAGG
rnacentral:rRNA from 1 species